UGAAUCACAUGUUUGAGAACUUCUUAUAAAACUAUCAUCACCGGAAAAUUAUGCUGAAUAUCAAUUAUUCAUUUACACCAAUGUUCGGCGAAUAAGACAAGCUCUCAUUCAAGCUUAAACAACAGGUAUUUUGCAUACACAGUAAUCAUAAUCACUAAAAGAAAAGUUAUAAGGCCAAGAUUGAGGUAUCAUGGUUUCGAUAAACACAUCAC